GGGGGCGAUCGGUUUCGACUGGGUGGGAAGCAGCAGAGCUGCGAGCCGAGGUGGUCAGGUCCUCGUUAAUCAACUGGCAGGCGCAUAAACGCCAACACACAGUACGCACUCGCCGCUUAAAUAGCGUCGACGCUCACCUGGUAGGGCCGGCGGCCCGGGCUGAGCGCCACAAGCCGGCUACCGUCGGGCGUCCUGGCCCGGGACGCGUGACGGGAAUCCCAACGGGCUGGCUGUUCGGGCAUCCGGUCUGCGGGAGGCCCAGACGGCGAGAACCAAAGCGCGGACUACGCUCGUAGAGGCUCCGCCCUCAUCCACUCAGGACGCGGGUUCGAUUCCCGCCGCCUCCACCA
rnacentral:tmRNA from 1 species